GUUAGUUUAGACAUCAUGACCAACAUUGCAGUUUCUCUUACUGAUACGAAUCUGUACUCCAAAAUACUGGAAAUGUCCACAUCAGUGGAUGGAAGCAGAGGUUGAAGAGAAAGCUGAAAGUUGUGAGAUUCAGACAGGAGAAGGAUGCUGUGGACUUGGCAUAAGGAAAGCCAUUGAAGGUUACUCUUUCCUCUUUGUCCACCAUUAACAGAACAUGGUACCCAGAGACUAGUACAUGAAUAGGGUCUGACUGGAGGUAAACAGAUGGAAAGAAAGUUCCACAAGGAUGCAUACAGAAGAAGCCAGCCUCACCCCACAUAGCCUCUAUCAAGAAUGUGACCACUUGCUUCAACAGAUACUCCCACCUGGAGGUACUGCCAUCUGCUGCCCACCCAGAAGGCAAGCCAACAGGGCUGGCAACCUACAAAACUGUUAGGUAAAUAAACCUGGUCUGACGUCUGCCUCAGA